UGGUGGCGAGUGGCGAACGGGUGAGUAAUAUAUCGGAACGUACCCUGGAGUGGGGGAUAACGUAGCGAAAGUUACGCUAAUACCGCAUACGAUCUACGGAUGAAAGUGGGGGAUCGCAAGACCUCAUGCUCGUGGAGCGGCCGAUAUCUGAUUAGCUAGUUGGUAGGGUAAAAGCCUACCAAGGCAUCGAUCAGUAGCUGGUCUGAGAGGACGACCAGCCACACUGGAACUGAGACACGGUCCAGACUCCUACGGGAGGCAGCAGUGGGGAAUUUUGGACAAUGGGCGAAAGCCUGAUCCAGCAAUGCCGCGUGAGUGAAGAAGGCCUUCGGGUUGUAAAGCUCUUUUGUCAGGGAAGAAACGGUGAGGGCUAAUAUCCCUUGCUAAUGACGGUACCUGAAGAAUAAGCACCGGCUAACUACGUGCCAGCAGCCGCGGUAAUACGUAGGGUGCAAGCGUUAAUCGGAAUUACUGGGCGUAAAGCGUGCGCAGGCGGUUUUGUAAGUCUGAUGUGAAAUCCCCGGGCUCAACCUGGGAAUUGCAUUGGAGACUGCAAGGCUAGAAUCUGGCAGAGGGGGGUAGAAUUCCACGUGUAGCAGUGAAAUGCGUAGAUAUGUGGAGGAACACCGAUGGCG
rnacentral:rRNA from 1 species